rnacentral:pre_miRNA from 1 species
CUGUUUUACGUGCGAGUUCCACUAAGCAAGUUUUGAGAAUUUUUUAAAAACAAAAACUUGACACGUUGAGCUCGUCCGUGGGGCAG